rnacentral:rRNA from 1 species
GUUUGACCUCGGAUCAGGUGGGGAUACCCGCUGAACUUAAGCAUAUCAAUAAGCGGAGGAAAAGAAACCAACCGGGAUUGCCUCAGUAACGGCGAGUGAAGCGGCAACAGCCCAAAUUUGAAAUCUGGCCCUGGGCCCGAGUUGUAAUUGGCAGAGGAUGCCUCGGGUGCGACGCCGGUCUAAGUUCCUUGGAACAGGACGUCAUAGAGGGUGAGAGUCCCGUCUGCGACCGGGCGUCGGGCCCACGCGAGGCCCCUUCGACGAGUCGAGUUGUUUGGGAAUGCAGCUCUAAGCGGGUGGUAAAUUCCAUCUAAGGCUAAAUACCGGCCAGAGACCGAUAGCGCACAAGUAGAGUGAUCGAAAGAUGAAAAGCACUUUGGAAAGAGAGUUAAACAGCACGUGAAAUUGUUGAAAGGGAAGCGCUUGCAGUCAGACUCGCCCGCGGCCGAUCAGCCGGUGUUCUCACCGGUGCACUGGGCCGUGGGUGGGCCAGCAUCGGUUUCGGCGGCGGGAGAAAGGCCCCGGGAAUGUGGCCCCCUUCGGGGGGUGUUAUAGCCCGGGGUGCAACGUCGCCNGCCGGGACCGAGGCCCGC